ACUUCCUAGGGUUUUGGACUUGACUGUGCACUUCUGAUGAAUUCCAAAUCCUAAUUCUUUGAGACUUUGACUUCAAAUGAUGUCCCAAGACAUAUGAACUCUUGAUUAAUGACCAAGGUGCCCAAAUUCCACAAGAAUGGCCACCAUCCACUGCUUUGAUUUGACUGCUGACUGUUUAGGGUUUUGGCUUGUCUGUGCAUCGACU
rnacentral:lncRNA from 1 species